AAUUCUCAACUGCACUGACUUUGAUUGGUGUGGCUUGGAUUUGGGGGGAAAAUUGUUGUGGGCUUUUGUCUGCUCCCCUGAAAUUAAUUAGCAGUACCUUGGUGGAACUGUCUACAGAUGUGAUAAAUAUCUACAUCCUAGAUGUCUGCUUAAUGUAAUGCUGCUUUCUAAACCCUUUACCUGUAUUGACAA
rnacentral:misc_RNA from 1 species